ACAUUUACAAAGAAUGUGCAAAAGACAAUUUAAAGAAUUAAAUCUUAGUAGUCUAAGUAACUGCUAACUAAAGAAAACUGAUGAAUGAAAAACAGUUCACUUUCUGUCCCUCACCCUCUACCACUCCAUCAGAAAACUAAAUCAAACUGUGAUACCUACAAGGCAAUCAGCACUGUAAGUCACAUGGUACAGUGGAUCUAAUGGAUAUUGUUUUAGAUUCAAGAUUAAUU
rnacentral:lncRNA from 1 species